rnacentral:rRNA from 1 species
GACGAACGCUGGCGGCGUGCUUAACACAUGCAAGUCGAACGGAAAGGCCCUGCUUUUGUGGGGUGCUCGAGUGGCGAACGGGUGAGUAACACGUGAGUAACCUGCCCUUGACUUUGGGAUAACUUCAGGAAACUGGGGCUAAUACCGGAUAGGAGCUCCUGCUGCAUGGUGGGGGUUGGAAAGUUUCGGCGGUUGGGGAUGGACUCGCGGCUUAUCAGCUUGUUGGUUGGGUAGUGGCUUACCAAGGCUUUGACGGGUAGCCGGCCUGAGAGGGUGACCUGCCACAUUGGGACUGAGAUACGGCCCAGACUCCUACGGGAGGCAGCAGUGGGGAAUAGUGCACAAUGGGCGGAAGCCUGAUGCAGCAACGCCGCGUGCGGGAUGACGGCCUUCGGGUUGUAAACCGCUUUCGCCUGUGCCGAAGCGUGAGUGACGGUAAUGGGUAAAGAAGCACCGGCUAACUACGUG